UACAGAGGUCUCAAGCGUUGUUCGGAAUUACUGGGCGUAAAGCGCGCGCAGGCGGCUAUCCAAGUCAGUGGUGAAAGCCCGGAGCUCAACUCCGGAACUGCCAUUGAAACUGUUUAGCUUGAGGAUGAGAGAGGUGAGUGGAAUUCCCAGUGUAGAGGUGAAAUUCGUAGAUAUCGGGAGGAACACCAGUGGCGAAGGCGGCGACCUGGACGGACACUGACGCUGAGACGCGAAAGCGUGGGGAGCAAACAGG
rnacentral:rRNA from 1 species